rnacentral:sRNA from 1 species
UAAAAUAAAAAUAAUGAAACAAAAGUGAAAUAAUAGCAGCAGCAACAACAACAACGACAACAAGAACCAAUAACAACGUGGGGUUUACUAAUCAUAAUAAAAUAGCAGCAGCAACAACAACAACCAGACACACAUGCAGCACAUCCCCAUAUAUUUGUAUGUAGGUAUGUCUGUCCGUCCGUACGUCGAUCAACGGUGUGUCUUGUCUUGAAUGUGUUUGAAUACAGAAACAAAACAAAAAACUUAUAAAACAAAGCAAAGAAACCCAUAUAAACAAAUAAACUAAUUAUCAUUAAAUAGAAGUCAAUUGCUAUCAUCACAGAAACCUGAGUGAAUAAAAACCAACAACAGAAAAUUUCACGAUAAAAAUUAUUAAAAUAUCAGAUAACAGCAAAAAGUGUGCAAAAAAGAUAACAGCAAAAAUUUAAAUAAUCUGCAAAACAAAAAAAGAUAAAAAACAAAUUAUCAUAAACAGUUUAAAACAAACAAAGAAUACAAUUUGUGACAAAUUUCAAGUAACCGUUAAACCGAAUCAAACAAAGGUAGACAACAGAAUAAGAAAAAACCUGAAAAUAUUGCCUCUAACUGCCUGCAAAUACUGGCCAUUAAUAAUGGCUACCCAAAAAUCCAUGAUGUUGUAUAUCGGAGAUUAAAUAUUGGUGGGGUUCAAGAGCAGUGCCCAAAAAACAACCGAUCGACCCAGAGUGGUGGCCACCAAAAAAAAAAAAAAGAUUUGUUUUUGAAAAAUUAAUAAAAUUGAUUGUUUUGAAAA